GCGCUGCCAUGGUCAGACGUGGAUAAUCUGUUGUUCGAGCAGUGUGUGUGCUGGUUGCUGCCAUGAAAAUAUUUUCAUAACGCCAUUGGUUUACUUUAAUUAAAUACAUUGAGUAGUGUAAUCAGUAUUGAUUGUCGGUGUACAAUUAUUUGGUAUAUCCACCAGGGGAUUUUUGACCGAAGUAACUUGAUCAACGACUACACAUAGAAGAACUGAAUUGUUUUUGCCGCCCGGGUCCUUUUUUUUAAAAGAGCUGGCUUCAACGCCAUCUUUUAAAUACUAAAAAUAAUAUAUUUUCUUAACUAUACGCAUUUUUGUAUAUAUUAAUAACAAGAAAAUAAUCCCUCAAAAUUUCAAAAGCCUCUAGACCACCGUGUCCCUUUUAAUAAAGAAGACAAUUAAAUACAAUAAAAAAAAAUGUGGGCGUCGGUUGACCCUGCGGGCCAGCCCUAAAACUUCCCGCUGUUUUCGACCUCAAAGAGCUCGAAAACAUUAGUGUAGAUAUAUUUUCGAGCUCUUCGAGCUCGAAAAUGCUAUCACAUGCAAUUGUUUUUUUAUGAUCUUUUCAAGCUCUAACAAGUUACCUGUUAUGCUGAAGUUUGAAAAUUUAAGAAUCGAAAAUCAUCAAUGAAGCGGUUUUUAAAAUUUAGUUCCUGAUUAUGUUCAGUAAAAUAAGUGUAUUGAGGCAGAAAUCAA